CCUGCGCCUUUCGGCCGUGGUGCACAUGCAGCCUGCCCGAAAACGUAUGGAUAUAGAGGGUUCGCGCUUUGGCGAGUAGCUUUCAGCGGGACGUCGGACCGUUGCUCAACGUUUUGGCCUUGGCUGCGAUACAACUGCAGCACCCCGUCAUCUAUGCCGUUUCCCGUCUUCGCUUUCUCUGCCCCCUCCCUUUUCCCCCUUUUUUUCGGUUGUUCCUCUUGAGCCGCGCUGCCGUGUCGGUUGUGGUGAGGCUGGGACACUUGACUUCACAUCAGCUGUUUCCCCGCACCCCUCCUCUUUUGCAUUUUCACCCCUUUUGCGUGCGUCUUGCGUGUUCCAGUCUCCACCUUCUUGCUGUUGCUCUUUGUUUGGACGUCACGUGGUCGACACAGUAGCGCCGCCGCUGCCGCCCUCGUCGUGCUCUUUCUUUCGAGCCCCUUUGUGCACGGUGCUCGCCGGCCGUGCGCGAGCGCUUUAGGCGUUCGUCAUUUCUUCGCUCCUCGUUCGGCACGGCAACAAAAUGUCUUCCGUAUCCUCCUCGAAGGUAAACCGCGGGCGCCGCAACUGCCUGGAACAGGCUUGGAACUACUUGAACACAGCUUUUAGCGCCACGGCGGGUCUCAAGGUGCUCCUGUGCGAUGAUGCGACUCGUGAAAUCCUCUCCGUUGCCUAUUCUCAGCACCAGCUGCUGCAGCAUAAUGUAGUGCUGGUCGAUAUGCUGGCGAACGAGGAGCGCUAUCCCAUGAAGCACUUCUCCUGUGUGAUUGUGUGCCGCCCCUCUGCGGCAUCGUUGGCAGCUGUAUAUCAGGAGCUGGCGGAGGGCAACUUCGCCUCCUAUGACAUCUACUUUACCUACAUGCUAGACUCCUCGCUGGUGCAGUCCUUGGCGAACGCAGAUGUGCUUAAUCUAGUGUCGCGCGUUGGGGAACUGUACAUCAACUCCAUUCCCGUGACGGAGUGGGUGUGUCUGAUGCAGCUGAAACCCUCGCCGCUGGCCAAAGGCCCAAGCCCGUUCAUGAACCCCAUCACGUACAGUCAGUGGGACCCCAAGUCGCUCGAGCGCAUGUCGGAGGGCAUCAUUAGCAUGCUGCUGUCGACGAAUCGCCGGGCUGUCAUUCGGUACCGCGAGGGCAGCAAGGUUUCCGAGAAGCUCGCGGUCGAGGUGGCAGCUCGCAUGAAGAGUGUUCACGCCACAUUCCCUGACCUCAAGGCCACCGAGAGUGUGCUGGUGAUCUUGGACCGCAAGGACGACCCUGUCACCCCACUGUUGAUGCCCUGGACCUACGAGGCAAUGAUUCAUGAGCUGAUCGGCUUCCAGCGCGGCAACGAAGUCGUCAUCGACGACCCAGAUGCGAAGCCGGAGGAUCGCGUGCAUGUCGUCGCGCCGCAGACGGACGGCUUUUUUGGCCAGCAUCGCUACGACGAUUGGGGCCAGGUCUGCGUGGCGGUGAGUGAGAUGGUGAAGGCGUACAAGGAGAUGAACCAAUUUGACCGCAACACCGUUUCCUUGGAUGAAAUCAAAAAUUUCAUGAACCGCUUCCCUGAGGCUCGCAAGCAGUCGGUGCAGGUGACCCGACACUGCGCUAUCACGAGCGAGCUGGUUGCCGAGAUCAACGGCCGCAACCUCACGCGGCUCUCGGUACUCGAGCAGGACAUCAUCUCCAACAACAACGUGACGGAGCACAGCCGCCUCGUGCUGGAGGUGGUACAGGACCCCAAGACGGACGUCGACGAUGCGCUGCGCAUUGUGAUGCUGUACCACCUGCACUACGAAAGGGUGGCCGGCAACAUCAUCAUGCAGCUAAAGCAGGAGCUCAUGCAGCGUCAAUGCCCGCAGGAGAAGGUCCAGCUGAUCGACCGCCUUAUCGAGUAUGCUGGACAGGACCAGCGGUGCCACGAGAUAUUCCGAUCUUCAACGGGGCACAUGCUCAAGACGGUCGCGAAGGCUGUUGGGCAGUUUGGCAAGGACGUGCAGAAUGUGCUCACACAGCACGUACCGCUCGUCAAGAAGAUCAUCAACCGUGUCUACAACGGUACACUAUCGGUGGAGAAGUAUCCGGUGCAGAGGGUGCCGGGGUGUCCUAUUCCCGCUGGCCAGGCGCCGUUUGUGCGCGCCAAGGACAUUAUCGUUGUGUACAUUGGCGGCUACACUUUUUCGGAGGCGAUGCUGCUGGCGCAGAUCAACGAAGGCAACGUGGACAAUAACCAGGAGACGCUGAUGAACUUCGGCAAGCAGGUAUCGCGUAAGCUGGGCACCGACGGCGUCACGGGGCCAUCGACGGAGCCGUACACCGCCAAGAUCGAGGCGCACGUCUCCCUCAUUACGACGUCGAUGCUGAACAGCAAGGAUUUUAUACACUCACUGCCCUCCUAGAGGAAAUCCAGGAUUCGUCUGUGAGCAGGCGGGGGCCAGUAGGUUGGGAGGAGGGGCACGACAGGCCCUCAGGUCAAGGGAGUCCAUCGAGACGUGCACGUUUUUGUUCUGUGUAGACGGUGGAGGGGGUAAGGCGUCUGCAAACAUGGCUUGAAUUCUCGUUGCUUUGACGAGAUAUGUAGUUGCGGCUGAUGCCCCAAGUGGGUAUGUGUGCGGUGUAUCGCUGUGUAUCCCGAUCGUUCAGGUGCACCAUUAUCUCUCGGCGCGCCUGAACGAUGAAAAGACGGUGGCGCUGUUUGGUCUGCCGCUGUCGCUCUGCGUUCUGCAGCGUGCACUCAUUCCUCGUUUCCACCAUUGGCCCUGCCAACCCUCUCCGCACCUCCUCACUCGCAUGGGGGGGUAGGCGAGGCGUUACGUUGAGAUCUUGACUGCGGCACUUGGUCUCUUCGUACGUGAGCAUGCCUAUUUGUUCCGUGCGUUUCCUUUCCCCGCGUUGCUGGUGUGUGUUCGAGCCUACGACCGUCCCUCGAUGCGAGUUGCUCUCUGGUAGCGAGAGC
rnacentral:misc_RNA from 1 species